rnacentral:rRNA from 1 species
GGUCAUUGGAAACUGGGGAACUUGAGUGCAGAAGAGGAGAGUGGAAUUCCACGUGUAGCGGUGAAAUGCGUAGAGAUGUGGAGGAACACCAGUGGCGAAGGCGACUCUCUGGUCUGUAACUGACGCUGAGGAGCGAAAGCGUGGGGAGCGAACAGGAUUAGAUACCCUGGUAGUCCACGCCGUAAACGAUGAGUGCUAAGUGUUAGGGGGUUUCCGCCCCUUAGUGCUGCAGCUAACGCAUUAAGCACUCCGCCUGGGGAGUACGGUCGCAAGACUGAAACUCAAAGGAAUUGACGGGGGCCCGCACAAGCGGUGGAGCAUGUGGUUUAAUUCGAAGCAACGCGAAGAACCUUACCAGGUCUUGACAUCCUCUGACAAUCCUAGAGAUAGGACGUCCCCUUCGGGGGCAGAGUGACAGGUGGUGCAUGGUUGUCGUCAGCUCGUGUCGUGAGAUGUUGGGUUAAGUCCCGCAACGAGCGCAACCCUUGAUCUUAGUUGCCAGCAUUCAGUUGGGCACUCUAAGGUGACUGCCGGUGACAAACCGGAGGAAGGUGGGGAUGACGUCAAAUCAUCAUGCCCCUUAUGACCUGGGCUACACACGUGCUACAAUGG